GGAGACGCAAGGACAUCUCCCCGUUUUCCCUAUAGGAAAUAAGGGCUGGCAGCAGCAGCCCGAGGCUCGCACGCGUUCGAGGGGCAGCCAAAUCCCGGGGCCCCGCAGCCGGCUUCGCUCGGCAGGCGCCGGGGCGCUGCUACCAGAGCGGCUCCCGCCUCAUUGGCACAGCUCGUUCGGUACCGGCGCCGAGAGAAACAACAGGUUUGGGGAUGCUCGCCAUCUCGACAGUAGGUAGCACCAAUCACCAGAACCACAUGUGAAGGAGGGUGGGUGAACUGGGAAAUUCAGAGGAUGCAGCUGCGAAUGCAGGCAAGAUCUAGGAUCUGUAUGGAUUAACUGUGCUACUCAGGGACCACAUUCAGACCAGAAUUGCUGGAGCAGCACAAGUGCACGUGGCCUGGCCCUUGAUCAGAUCCAACAGUCUCACCAUGAAGAACACAGAACUGAUUGCUG